GCGAAAGUGGCGGAAUUGGCAGACGCGCUGGACUUAGAAUCCAGUCCCGAUUUUCGGGAUAGGGGUUCAAAUCCCCUCUUUCGCACCA
rnacentral:tRNA from 1 species